rfam:Schistosoma curassoni strain Dakar, Senegal genome assembly, scaffold: SCTD_scaffold0000206
AUCGAGAUGACGAGUCCCAAAUAGGACGAAACGUGCAUCCUGGAU